CAAACCUACGGGAGGCAGCAGUGGGGAAUAUUGCACAAUGGGGGAAACCCUGAUGCAGCGACGCCGCGUGAGUGAAGAAGUAUUUCGGUAUGUAAAGCUCUAUCAGCAGGGAAGAAAAUGACGGUACCUGACUAAGAAGCCCCGGCUAACUACGUGCCAGCAGCCGCGGUAAUACGUAGGGGGCAAGCGUUAUCCGGAUUUACUGGGUGUAAAGGGGGCGUAGACGGCGGAACAAGUCAGAA
rnacentral:rRNA from 1 species